GACACUCAGCCCCUGGAGACCCACCCCCUAAAUCCCUGGCCCCAGCCCUGGGCUUCAACCACUCCGCCAGACCAAAUGUCCAUCUAGUGUCUGGUGCGCGUGGCCACAGUCUGGACCGACACGCUUUCCCUCCCCUGAAGGCUCUGGCCCCUAGUCCCUACCCGCUCCCCCAGCCUCUGACAGCCCCCCUUAGUGGCCACCUCCCGUCACUGUGUGCUUUUGGCAUAACCCAGGCCAGCAGCUCCCCAUCACUGCCUCCCCGAGCCCUGGCCUCCUGCCCCACCAACGCCACUCCCGCCCUCUGCGCUCGGCUACAGUCUAACCUCCGUGGAGCUGAGCGAGCAGUCACUGCAGGAGCUGCGGGCUGUGGGGACAGCAAAGGCGGGACUGGCCACCACCCACCCAGCGUUGGACAACGACUCGCAGCCUCACAAAGGGCUCGGCAGUGCCCCCGAGGCCCUGGGGGAGGGCUCUAGUCAGCCCUGCAGAGUAGCCCUCCCCACUCCGAGGGCGAGAGGGUGGCGCUCUCUGCUGUGGGCAACUCUUUUGAGCCUGAGGGGCCCUGGACAGGCAGGUGGGAGACCCAGACAGACACGGCCCCUUGCCUGCUCCUGGACAGCCCCCGAGACCUCCCCACACCCUGGGGACAGGUAUGUCUCUGUCCUCCCCACCAGGAGGAGGGGCUCCCCUCCCCUAACCCCACUGCUGCCCCACCCACGUUCCUCUCCUGGGAGCCUCCAGCCCUCCCGCUGCAGGCGCCCCUCAGCAGCAAGGGUGAUGAUGGGCGCCCCCAGGAAUUGAGGGCCUUGACCUGGUGCAGGAUGACGCAUUUGCUGAUCCUGAGGACCUACAGUGUGCUGGCCUUCGCCUGGUGCAGGGUGACCCAUCUGCUGAUCCUGAGGACCUACAGUGUGCUGGCCUUCGCCUGGUGCAGGGUGACCCAUCUGCUGAUCCUGAGGACCUACAGUGUGCUGGCCUUCGCCUGGUGCAGGGUGACCCAUCUGCUGAUCCUGUGCCCACGCACAGUAUGGGCACGCAUAGCCCACUACUCGGCUCCAGCCGUAGGGGAUCAAGCAGGGGCUGCCCCUUGGCUGAAGGCAGGCCCCUCCGCCGAGCCAACCUUCCCAUGGAGGAUGCUGGCAAGGACGCCACCAGAUUCACUGCCCGUUCUCUGCCCGGUGACCCCCGGCUCUUGGCCACCGUGACCAAUGCCUACUUGGGCACACGCGUGUACCAUGAGACACUGCAUGUGAGCGGCGUGUACAAUGGGGCUCGGGGGGAUACGCACCGGGCCAUUCUGCCCAGUCCCCUCAAUGUCCAGCUGGAGGCCCCUGCAGGAUCAGGAGAGCAGCUGACCAACACCUUCGUCCUGGACACUAACACAGGCUCCUUUCUGCACACCCUGGAGGGCCCCAGCUUCCGGGCCUCCCAGCGCAUCUAUGCCCACCGCACGCUGCCUCACGUCCUGGCCUGCAGCGUGUCCAUCACCCGCUUGGCCACAGGGAGCUGGCCCAUCACUGUGCUGCUGCAGUCAGCCUUCUCCCCAGAGAGCCCGGACCUGGACCUGCACCUGGGUCCUGACUUCCAGGGAGCCCGGUACCUGUACGGCCGCACACUCACCCCCGAGCAGCCUGGGGGGGCACAGCAGGAGGUGCACAUGCUGUGGACGCCCGUGCCCCCAGCCUUGACCCUUGGGGAAGGGGAGGAGGAUGGGACGUGGGAGUUCCUGACGGUGGUGGGUGGCAGCCAGGCCGAAGCCCAGGCCUGCCUCGCCGACGCCCUGCAGCUGCAGGCCAGGCGCACUCUCUACGCGGCCCACUCGCAGGCCUGGGCCCAGCUCUGGGCAGGCUGUGGCCUGGAUGUGGAGGGGCCCCUGCGUCUGCGCCAGGCCCUGCGUGGAGCUCUCUACUACCUGCUCAGUGCCCUGCCCCAGCCCGGGGCCCCAGAAUACGUCUGCCACGGCCUCAGCCCAGGGGGCCUCUCCAACGGGAGCCGUGAGGAAUGCUACUGGGGCCACGUCUUCUGGGACCAGGACCUCUGGAUGUUCCCCAGCGUCCUGAUGUUGCACCCCGAGGCUGCCAAGGCUCUCCUGCAGUACCGCAUCCGGACGCUCAGUGGGGCCCUGUACAACGCCCAGAACCUAGGCUACCAGGGAGCCAAGUUUGCCUGGGAGAGCGCGGGCUCCGGCCUGGAGGUCUGCCCUGAGGCCAUUUAUGGGACCCAGGAGAUCCACAUCAACGGGGCCGUGGUGCUGGCCUUCCGUCUGUACUACCACGCCACCCAGGACUUGCAGCUCUUCCGAGAGGCUGGGGGCUGGGAUGUGGUCCGUGCCGUGGCUGAGUUUUGGUGCAGCCGUGUGGAGUGGAGCCCUGAGGAGGAGAAGUUCCACCUGAAGGGAGUCAUGCCCCCUGACGAAUACCAUUCAGGGGUCAACAACUCCGUGUACACCAACGUCCUGGUCCAGAACAGCCUGCGCUUUGCUGCUGCCCUGGCGCAGGACCUGGGUCAGCCCGUCCCCAACCAGUGGCUGGUGGUGGCUGAUAAGAUCAAGGUGCCCUUUGACCCGAAACUGAACUUCCACCCUGAGUUUGAUGGGUACCAGCCUGGUGAGUGGGCUUGGAGCUCCUUCAGGGCCCUUCUCCCCUCCCACAGGACCUCGUGUCCGCCCUGGACGCCCCCUUUCCAACAGAGCAGUCCCCGCCCUCCCCACCUUACCCCAUCAGCAGCACCGCCCCCCUCACCCCCAGGAGAGGAGGUGAAGCAGGCAGAUGUUGUGCUCCUGGGGUACCCCGUCCCCUUCCCCCUGAGUCCUCAAGUUCGCAGGCAAAACCUGGAGAUGUAUGAGGCUGUGACGUCCCCCCAGGGCCCUGCCAUGACUUGGAGCAUGUUUGCAGUGGGCUGGAUGGAGCUGAAGGACCCCGGGCGGGCGUGGGACCUCCUGGAGAGGAGCUUCGCCAACGUCACGGAGCCCUUCAAGGUGUGGACGGAGAAUGCAGACAGGUCCGGUGCCGUGAACUUCCUGACAGGCAUGGGGGGCUUCCUGCAGGCGGUGCUCUUUGGGGUCACGGGGUUCAGAACCUUCCCCUCGCCGCAGGAUCACCGAGGCCGGUUUGACCUUCGACCCCAUGUGUCCCGCGGGGGUCUCCGGAGUGUGCGUCUCUGGCAUCUCCUACCAGGGGAGCAAGCUUGACUUUUCCUUCUCCGAGGGCUCUGUGACAGUUGAGGUCACUGCCCGGGCAGGGCCCUGGGCCCCCCGGCUGGAGGCUGAGCUGUGGCCAUCACAGGUUCGGCUCCCCCUGUCCCCAGGACACAAGGUCUCCUUUCCCUGCUCAGCUGGCCGGAUACAAAGGUCACGCCUGUAGGAAGCAGGGGCAGCAAGUUCUGCUCCAAGAGUUUCCUGGGAAGAUUUUUGGAAGACAUUAAACAUCUGCGCAGAGCCCACAGGACCCCCUCUGGGACAUCCUUGGGCCCUCCAGCCCCGCCGAGUCCCCCCAACCCUGGCCCAGUCCUGCCCCCUCCCCCAAAACAACCAGGGCUAUUGGCUUCAGGAUGUCUCUCAGGUCCUCCCCCCUGGCCACUCCCUCUGCCGGUGCCCCCGCUGGCUGCACCCACCCCUCCUCAAUGCCCUCCCAGCCUGCCGCCCCCUCCCACCCUCCUCCACGUGGCAGCCAGGCUCACGGGUUCCAAGGAAAGUCUGGAUUCUGUGGCCUAAGUUCAAGACUCUGCCUCUAGCCUGAGCCCCUCCCCAGCCUAACCCCCCCCUGGAUGGGCAGCUUUCCUGCACCCUCACACAGCAUGUCUGCUCCUGCCCUCCCUCAGUGCCCCUUCCCUAGGACCCCACAGGGUGAGGUGGGGGAAUGGCCAACGGUUCUGCGGAGAAGACAGAGGCAGAUGCCGGCCUUGAUGGGGAGCACGGCAGGAUGAGGGGCGUGGGGGAGACUCAGUCUCCUGUGGGAUUACUUGGGACACCGAGUCGCAGCUUCACCACAAAGGAACCUUCUGUGUCACACAAGGGAGCAUCAGGUAUGGCUGGGUCCAGGUGCUCUUGGGCUGUUGUGAGCACUCAGCAUCCUCAGUCCUUGGCUCCUCUGGCCUCUGGGCCACUUCAGUCAAGUUGGAUGGUCUCUGUCACAUGCCUUUCCGCAGCCAGGAAGGGAGGGGAGUGGGGUGUGGGGCAAGACCCUACAUUUCCUCUGACCGGCCAGAAGGACUGGGGCCAAGUGUGCGUGAGUUCAAGGCCGUGGCCCUGGGCCCACUUGUCCUGGGCAGGCUGCCCUCAGCCGAGGCUCUGCCCACUGUGUCCUCCUGGGCUUCAGCCCCUCAGUUGGCACAGCAGACUUGGGUUUCCCCAGGGUGGGGCGAGAUGGUGUCUGCCAUGGAAGUCCUGGCGAGGGCCAAGCCUGCUGCACCAGAUCUGCCUGAGGGACGGGCAAGCUUUGUCUGCUGUGAGGAGCUGACGAGCUCCCUCCUGAACGUGAGGAUUUCGUAAAGGAUCAAGUUUCCCUUCCAGGCGGCUGGGAAGCAGUCACGUGCUCGUGUAGAGCAAGUAAGCGGUCCCGUCACGUCUGCGCCCCUCCUUCAUCUGCAAACCGCUGCUCUCUGUUCUCAGUGGAGAGUUAGCCUGAGUUCUCCAAGAAGCGGACACCAGGCAGGCAAAGUGUGAUGGACUGAAGCCCCGUGAGGGAGAGAGGGAGGGGGGUGGCUGCAGGGAGUGUGGCCGAGCUGCAGACCAGCUCCCUGAGGGCCUGUGGCCUCAGAAUGGAUCCAGCGACUUGGUGGGGCUCCCCCAGGGGCCCACAGGCUCUCGCUCAACCGGUGGCAGUGCCGCAAAGGCCCAGGCAGGUCUGCUGAAGCAGAGCAUGGUGGCCAGGGGCUGUCCCCAUGAAGCAGACACUUGCCUUUGCAGCCCUGGAGCCAGACGUGGGCACAGGCAUCAGGUGGGGGUGGUAGGUGGCCCUUCACCCCCAGGACUGACGUAGCGUGAUACCUGCCGCGUGUGUGUGCCGCGUGUGUGUGUGUGUGUGUGUGCGUGCACACCCACCUGUGCCUGUGGAGGGGCAACCCUCCAAGGGGCCGUGACAGGGUGGCAGCAUGUGUGUGCUGGCCUGGCUGGUCCGGCCCAUGACAGCCAAUUGCCUGAACCUGACCAGGGUCCUUCAACCUGCCCAGGAGACGGGCUGGAAGGGUUGCUGGUGACCUUCCUCUGUGCCUGGCUUGACUGCAUAUUCUCUGUCCUCAGCAACUGGGCACGGGCUGGACAAUGUCUGCUCCCCUCACCAAAUGUGGAGACCAGAAGACCAUCCCCUGCUUGGAGACACGUACCCGGCUACACACAGGCUGACCCCUGCUCCCAGCCUCUGUGUCCAGCAUGGGUUGGUCCCUUCCUGGGCCAAAUCUGGAGCUCAGUGUUGGAACGCCGUCUCCAUCGUAGUCCGAGCGCUGGCCUUGCCCUUAGUCCAGUGUAGGACCAGUGCCCAGGAAGGGGUAGUGCUGCAUCUCCACGCCAGGCCCCGGCCAGCACCACCUCUGCCUCAGGGGCUGGCUCAGAGCAGCGCACACUCAGCACGGGGCUGGGGCACCGCCGGGCUGCAGCCGGCACUCAUUUCUGCGGGCACGCUUUGGAGACAGCUGGACCAACCGCUGGCUGUCACAGGAGGGGGGCCACUCUGGGGGCUCCAAGUACAGCAGCUAGACAGAGACCCACGCCCCCAGCCCAGGCAGGGUGGGCAGGCAAAGGGAGGGAAGGGACCACGGGGUGGGUACUCGGAGCCCUGAGCCACCCUGUGGUUAAGGCCCCUGCAAUUAGCCUGCCCUGUCAUCGGCCCGGCCACAGCAAGGCCCAGGGGCCCCACCCCCAACCACACAGGGCGUGCGUGUGUCUCUGGCAGCCCCCGCUCUGCCAGGCUCUGCCGGGGCUGCUGGGGGGUUACAUAAGGGAGGUAAACUGACGUGAGGCGCUCGGAAAAUGCCCUCGCCCCCCCCCCAUGUCUCCCUCUCUGUACGAUCGUGCGUGUGCGGAGGGUGCACCUGUGCACAUGGGUGUGAUGGACGUGUGCACGGAUGAUGGUGUGACCGUGUCUGUGUCCAGCCCCACCGAUCCAGGAAGGAGGAAACCCACUGCUGGGACAGAGAUUGAUCAGAAUUAAAGGGACGCAGGGUCACAGGAACAGAGUGACCCAAAGAAGGAGGUCAGCACAGGCCCAGCCACGGACAGGAACGUGCAGAACAAGGGCAAGUCUCACUGGCCAGGGACUCCUCUUAACACGUGUGCACACACGCUGACCCGGGGAUGGGCAGACACGUGGACGCGGAGACGCACCACACGCAUUCUGAAAGACAGGCCGCUAAACCACAGAGCGGCAGAGAUCAAAGCCCGACUUCCCAAACUUCAUUCUAAAAUACUCGGGCCCCUCCACCCAGAGGCCGCAGGCUGCCCAGUGCCUGAGCAAAGGGGACAGUCGGGGCACCAAGCCGACAGGGCGGGGCGUCCACCAUGGACGCUGGGGGCAGUCCAGGGGAAUUUGGCUGCAGUGGUCCCUAGGGUAGCUCCCCUCAGGAAGAUGCCCUCCCCCACCCCAGCCAGGAACAGUCCUGGAAGGCACUUUCUGGAGCCAGGCGCUUUUAAUUGUGAAACUGAGGCUGAGCCUGGUGACUGGGGAGGGAGGAGCUGGCCUGGGGGCAUCGAGGUGAGGCUAAGGCCCUGGGGUCCCCGUGGAGGAUCUUCAGGGUCAGUGUUAGGUGCCCAGGCUGGGGCUGGAGGGUGGGCCUCAGGCCCGUAGGCAAGUCAGGGUUCCGGGUGAUGAGGGUGGAGCCCCCGGGGUUGGGGUCCCUGGGUCAGGGGGGGACAGGGCCCAGCCUGUCAGUCAUAGUCUGAGUCGUCGAACUUGGUGCUGAAGAAGGCGGCGGAGCCCUUGGCCAGCCGGGACAGGUGCAGGGCGCCGGUCACCACCAGCGCCAGCAGCAGCAGAGGCGGCACCAGAGCCCACACCGCGGCCAGGAUGUUGUAGCACUUGGCUUUGGAGCCGAGCCGCCGGGCUGCUUCCAGAUCUCCGGUUACCUUCUGGUCUCGGGCCUGUGGACCAGCAGCAGGGCCAGCUCUCUACACGUGCUUGGGGCCAGGGUGGGGCCUGCCACCCGGUCCCAGGCAGCCGCUGGGUCCACACCUUGGAGGACCCGAGCUGGACCCAAAAUCUGGAUGGAGGGGUGUGGCCUGAGGGGAUAUUGCCUGGGCUCCACCCACUCCCUUCACCGUCCCCAGCUGGGCACAUGGGCUUGGCCCGCCCAGGGGGCCUUGGGUCAUGAGGGGCUCAGCCUAAGGUGGGGCUGAAAGGAGACCCUGCAACCUCCCACUCCAGCUAUGGACCCAGUGGCCCUCCCAGGCCAGCAUCAGCCUCCAAGGACCUCCGAGGGUAGGGGGUCCUCAGCGGUGCUGAGAGCGUUUGAUGGAAGAGACCCCCUUGGGUAAGGCCCCAUCGACCCUGGGCUCUUUGGGACAAACUAGAGCCCCCGUUCGUUGUUACGAACGGCACGCCAGCCUCAGUGGAGAAGCAGCCCUCGUGAGGGAGGGGCUCCCCCCAGCGUCAGGCCGACGGACGGCCCCGUGGAGACUCCUGCACCCCAACUUGAUAAGCAGCCCCCAUGAAACGCUCUUGGGCCCCCUCGAAGCGCCCCAAGGCCCACCUUGAUGGAGUAGGCCAGCGCCAGGAAGCCGAGGCAGCACGGGUUCAGGUAGAGGGUGCUGAACACCGACCAGAUCAAGUGGUCUCGAGGUGGGGGUCGCGGCGCCCCCAGCGUGAGGGCCGUGUGGGCGGUGCCGUCGGCCUUGCGGGGCGUCGGGGCCCGGGGGUCCUCGCGGGGGUACGACGUGUCCAUGGGUUCCAGCGCCGUCUCCUCGCUCGGACUCCUGCUUCGAGGGUGGGCGCCCCGGCCGCUUAUAGCCCCCGCCGCCGCCCGGCUGACCGGCCCGCCGCUAAAUUUAACGACAAAUGACAGCCCGGAGCUGAGCGAUCGGCCCCGCCCGCCCCGCCGCCCCGCCUGCGCGAGCCCACCCCCCACCCCCCGCUGAGUCCCCCUCCCCCACAGAAAGCCCCGCCCCCGCGGAGAAGCACUGCCCCGUCGAGGCCGGGGGCCCGUGCGGUGGCCGCGGUCGCCCCCCAGAGCCCCCGCCCCCGCGGACGAAAGGAGGGGGACGCACCAGCUCAGGGCCGUGGUGGGUGGGCCGCUGCCUCGGCCUGAGGGCAGGGCUAGGGCUGCUGAAACCACGGCUCCUCUGUCCCCAGAACUGCCCGCAUCACCUGGUCACCGGUGCCCACCCUGCCGGGUGCUCAGGAGAGAACAGCGGGGAAGGGAGAGAGCCGGGGGGUGGCUGUUAGGGGACCAGCUGGGACCCGGACGUUACUGUGCGGGUGCUACAGCGAGCUCCCCGGGGCCUGCUCUGGGGACCGCCCUCCUCCCUCACAAGCUGGCAGCUGCUUCUCAGGCUGCUUGCCUGGUUGCUUCUCCCUCCUGAAUCCAGAGCUGCGGGGCGGGGAGGGCGGGGCUGAGCUUAUGUCUGCACCCUGGCCUCAUCUCCCUCCAGAGGGCCCAGCAGCCUCGGCUAAAAAUGCCAUCUAUGUGCCCGUCAGUCACAUUUAUGUCAAAGGGCCAGAUUGCCGUGUCCGCGGAGGAGGGCUCCCGGGAUCUCCAGCCUAACUCCUCAACGGGAAACCUCAGGCUCUCCCAAACCUUCUGUCUGAGUUGGGACUCCCACAGCAAAGUAGCUAGACUAGUGGCUCAUAAAUAAUAGAAAUUUAUUUCUCACGUUUCUGGAGGCUGAAGGUCUGAGGUCAGGGUACCAGCGUGGAUGGGUUCUGGUGAGACCCGCUUUCUGGUUGCAGAGCGCCGACUUCUCAGGGCUCCUCACUGGUGGAAGGAGCUGGGGAGCUCUAUGGGGUCCCUUUUAUAAGAGCACUAAUCCUACCAUGAGGGGUCCAGCCUCAUGACCUGACCACCUCCUAAUACCGUCACUUUAGAAUUUCAAUAGGAAAUGGGGGGGGGGGACACAAGCAUUCAGUCCACUGCACCCUCUGUCCGGUCUCUGCGGGCACAGGUGGUGGCCACUCCACCCGUCCGACUGCUCAGGCCAAGAGCCUUGGCUUACGCCCGCGCCCUCUGCCCCUCACACAGGAUCCAUUUGGUCCCGCCUUCCAGAAUGUGCAGAAUCUCACCCCCACUGUGACCUCUGAGGCCAAGCCACCCUCACCUUCUCCUGGGUUAGCGUGGCCCCCUCCUCGGCCUUCUCACUGCUCCAGCCGGAGUGAGCCUGUUACAACAGAAAACAAGUUGUGCCUCCUGCUCCCCCCGAGGGCCCCCACCUCACGCCAGAUCCAGAGUCGCUGCAGAGGCUCAGGAGGCCCUGCAGGGUUACUCCAGGCCACGCUCCUGGACUCUGAGAGGGACACUGAAUAGGGAGGCUCUUUGUGUCAAGCCCUGAAGAAGGGAGGAAGAGGAACAGGAUGGGGGGCAGUAGAAGCUGAGCGGCAGUAAGGCCCAGCGAAGACCUGAGCUGAGCCCUCAGGAGCUCUGGAGCUUGGAGGACACCUGAGAGAUGCCCGAAGCAGGGCGGCAUUCUACUCACCCUCAGCUGCCAGCUCUGCUAGGCCCAGUGGAUUACUGUGUGUUGUGGCCCCUUCUCCGAGAGACCUAGGCCGUGGUCACCGUGACCGCACUGGGGCAGGAGUGCUGCACGUGGCCAUUUACCGUAACAUUGGGCAAGAGGGGACCCAGUGUGGAGCGCCCCUCCCUCCUCCUGCGGACCAGAGUCAAGUGGCCCUGCCUGCGACCCAGGCAUGAGAAACAAAGGGGCAUCCAGAGAGCUUAGGUCAACGGCACCUUUUUGUGUCACCUGAAGGAAGCUUUGGGAAACAGAACUUCUGAACCCACAGAGCCCAGAGCAGCAGGGCUGGAGAGCAUGAAGACACCAGUGGCACAGGAAGUGACGAGAGGCAGAGCUGCCCAGUCCUGCCCUGGGGCCCUGGACCCACGUAUUCUACCCACAGCCGCUCGGCACCUCAUAACGGCCUUUGACCUGAGGGCUAACUGGAGGCAGGAGGGGUGCCCACCCUCGGCUCGGUCCAGUGGGGUGGUAAGGCGUGGGACGUGACUGGCAGACCUGAGCCUGUGUUCCCAUCACUGGGGAUGACAUACGAUGUGGACUUCUGGGCAGGGUCAGCGCUCCGAGUUCCUGAGGGGUGCAGCUGAGGUCUGGGAGCGGUGCUGGCAACCACGCCCAGGCACAUGCUUCCCCUCUGGCGACAAGGGUCCAAUGAAAGUAACUUGCUUGCAGCUCUGCCCCUCACCCCGGUGUUCAGGCCGCCCCUGAGUGGGCUGGAGUGCAGGCCCCAUCCUGCGGCCAGCCGUCUCCCUCACACUGAACUGACCGAUGGAGAACCGGGCUGGGAAUUCUUCCUUCCCCAUCAUCUGGUCCCAAGGGGAUCCCCCUGCAGCCCCAGGUGUGAGCAGAGAGACAGGCCUUGGGAAGCAGUGGUGGAUGACACAGGGUCAGGACAACCUGCUUGUUUGACCUGGAAUGUUCCACGUCCAUCCUUGAAUGCAUUGCUGCUGGACUAAACUGUCAACUGAAAGGCAAACACACAAUGCAAGAACUGUGAGGUGAGUGUUAUUAACGGUGUUACUGAGGACUGCAGCCUGGGAAGCAGCCUCUUGGUACCUCUGAGAAACUGUAGCAGGAAGAACAGAACUGGCACCUCCCCCCCCCCCCAUUCUUCGGCCCAUGUAGUCCAUCACUUUCGUCCCCACACGCCAAGAGUUAAACAGUAGAGAAAUGUUGUUUGUUCCCAAAUAGCCCAUUAAGUUCCCUGAAGAACGUUCCCAUCCCAUGGUCCUGGGUUACUUAUGGCCAUUACUUGUUGUAGAUAAGUUUGCUUUCAGCCUGGAAACCUUGCAAAUAAGCAGAGAUAAGGGUGUAAAGUAAAAAUAACUGCUAAGAACUUGAAGAUUUGCAGGAGCCUUGUGAUCCAGCCUGUGUGAGCAAGCAGAAGAACAAAGAAACGCUACGCUUCCUUGAAGGCCAGGUGGCUCCGAGAAGUCUGCAAUCUGCCUUCACCCUCUAAUCUCAAAUCUUCCUGCUUCCCCUUUUCCCUUCGCACAAAAGAAGACCAAAUUCUACCCCGAAUUAAGAUGGUUCUUUAGGAACCAUCUUCUUGGUUUGCUGGCCUCUGAAUAAAGUCACUAUUUCUCCCUCA